AUGCACGCUGGCGGCGUGCCUCAUCCAUGCAAGUCGCGCGAACAGACGAGGAGCUUGCUCCUCUGACGUUAGCGGCGGACGGGUGAGUAACACGUGGAUAACCUACCUAUAAGACUGGGAUAACUUCGGGAAACCGGAGCUAAUACCGGAUAAUAUAUUGAACCGCAUGGUUCAAUAGUGGAAGACGGUUUUGCUGUCACUUAUAGAUGGAUCCGCGCCGCAUUAGCUAGUUGGUAAGGUAACGGCUUACCAAGGCAACGAUGCGUAGCCGACCUGAGAGGGUGAUCGGCCACACUGGAACUGAGACACGGUCCAGACUCCUACGGGAGGCAGCAGUAGGGAAUCUUCCGCAAUGGGCGAAAGCCUGACGGAGCAACGCCGCGUGAGUGAUGAAGGUCUUCGGAUCGUAAAACUCUGUUAUUAGGGAAGAACAAAUGUGUAAGUAACUAUGCACGUCUUGACGGUACCUAAUCAGAAAGCCACGGCUAACUACGUG
rnacentral:rRNA from 1 species